rnacentral:lncRNA from 1 species
ACAGGAGUCGCCAGCGUCCAGUGCUUCCCGCCGUCAGUAGUUGCAGGCUUGAAUAGUCCUCCUGAAGUGAAUGGGACACAUACAGCUUUGGUUCCACUGUGCCACUGAAUAAAUACGACUCAAAAAGCAUGGGAGGAUUAACACAGAGUGCUUGCCUGGUGUGGUACGGAAGAGAAGAUCAUCAUAGGACAUCACAGACAGAUCCAUUUCAGCAUUCGCCUUAUUCAAAUAAGCUCUGAAAUUUACAGGCAAACGAAAGAGAUUCAUAAGCUAUGUAUUGCCUGAUAUCCCAUAGUACACCUGGGAUGCCUCACUGCAAUGGUAAGCAGAGAUUCAUUUACAUGAUCUCAUCAUUAACACCUUUAUUAGGAUUGUAGUGAUCUUAAAAAUAUCUAAGCCUAUUCCUUGGAGUAAGACCAACACGACCUCCCCCGUGCCUUUUCUAACCAUCCUGAG